rnacentral:rRNA from 1 species
ACGCUCGACACCUACGGGAGGCAGCAGUGGGGAAUAUUGCACAAUGGGGGAACCCUGNUGCAGCGAUGCCGCGUGAAGGAAGAGUNUCUCGGUNUUGUAAACUCUAUCAGCAGGGAANAAAUGACGUACCUNACUAAGAACGCCCCGGCUAACCUACGUGCCAGGUAGCCGCGUAAUCGUCGAGGCGGGCUGGCAAGGC